rnacentral:rRNA from 1 species
GACGAACGCUGGCGGCGUGCUUAACACAUGCAAGUCGAACGGCAAGGCCCUGCUUUUGUGGGGUGCUCGAGUGGCGAACGGGUGAGUAACACGUGAGUAACCUGCCCUUGACUUUGGGAUAACUUCAGGAAACUGGGGCUAAUACCGGAUAGGAGCUCCUGCUGCAUGGUGGGGGUUGGAAAGUUUCGGCUGUUGGGGAUGGACUCGCGGCUUAUCAGCUUGUUGGUGGGGUAGUGGCUUACCCAGGCUUUGACGGGUAGCCGGCCUGAGAGGGUGACCGGCCACAUUGGGACUGAGAUACGGCCCAGACUCCUACGGGAGGCAGAAGGGGGGAAUAUUGCACAAUGGGCGGAAGCCUGAUGCAGAAACGCCGCGUGCGGGAUGACGGCCUUCGGGUUGUAAACCGCUUUCGCCUGUGACGAAGCGUGAGUGACGGUAAUGGGUAAAGAAGCACCGGCUAACUACGUG